GGCGCCUCACUCGCCUUCCCUCGGCGCGUUUCCGUAGGUUCGACGUCUUGGCUGAGACGACAUCCACUCGGGGAUGAUCCACAGGCAGGGCUUUUAAAUCUUCCGCCAGAUCCACCUGUUCUGCCGGGAUUUCUAGAGUUUUAUUCCCUGAGCUUUCCAGGUCACCCCUCCUCGGCCUCCCGCGUCCCCAAGACUGAAGGCGCCGCUCGAUCCCUGGUGGGGAGCUCCGUGCGGUUCCCGGGGACCCCUAGAAGUUUUUAUGCUCGGGACGUUUAAGGGCUUGAGCUGCCAGUUUGAGUUUCCAAGAGCCGCCUGUUUGGAAAGCCUUUCACAGCCUCCCUUUCCGCGGAGGGGGCAGCGGGCCGGGUUCGGCGGCUGUGGAAGCUCAGUCUUCCUGGGUGUUGAGGGAGUUCCGCCCAGCGCGAUGGAUUCUCCAAGUCUCAGCAGAUACCGCUGGUCUCUCUUCACCAUCUGGAGCACCAACCACACCUUGACCUACCUGAUGGGACCUGUGGAUUCCACAGGACCUGCCAUGCUGAUGGAGGCUGAAGGAAGGGCAUGGAAAUCACCAACAUAUCAGAUUCCAGCUCCCUGCUGAGCCUAGUGAGGUGAAGGAGGACAACAGGUGAAACCAAAGUCACUGGACCAGCUAGUCCUGAAUAGGGCACUUGGGAAAAGCCACCUAAGUCAAGAGACCAUUCCUGCAGAGUAAAUGAAAUAACCCAUCUCUGACAGGGAGUGGAAAGUGCACCGGCCACACGUUACAAUGAGGACUAGCGGAGCUCAGCCAGCCCUCUAAGGCACUGCUCCUGAAAGUGUGGGCCCCAGUACAGCUGGUGUCUGAGAAUUGUUGGUUCCCAGUCCCCAACAAGGUAAGUACAGAAAUGGAAGGUAAGCACUGAGAAAUAUAUAGCAGUGUGGCAUUCCCACAAUAUCCAAGAACAUGAUGCGUAGAAUCAUCUGGUUGAUUGAGGUACAGACCAUGUGUGUGUCUGUGAUGGAUCAGAAAUGAAAACAAAAACAAAACACUCCGUCCUUUACUGCAGAUAUUUUGAGAAGCACUAGGUGGUCUAAAGCACACUCGUGACAGAGGGGCUUGAACUAGUGACCACAAAGGAUUAUAAGCCCAUAUUUUAUUGCACGUUAUAAGAUGAUAUGCAGUGACUCACUGAAAACUGGCUGCUAAGGCAUGGUAGCCUCCUGGAAUCUGCAACAUGUAGGCCUUUUUCACUAGGAACUGUAAUAUGAUUAUUUUUUUUUUCCCAAGGAAAUUGGGAGGCCAUUAACUAGCUGCCGACUCAACUGGAGGUAAGUCAACUUGGCAAAAAGAGCACCCUUGGUCUUUGAACACACAGGGAGGAAGCAGAGGAGACCCUUGGGGGUGUCAAGGACCCUUGAAAGUUGGUUUGUUUACUAGACUGACCCUAGGUUACUGAGCCUGGAGAAUAAAUAUACACACAGAAAUCAACAGAAUUGUAUCAAAAGAGAGUAAAGAAUUAGGCUAAAAGACAACAGUAAGGUGUUCCAUGAAUAAAUGAAUUCAUUACAAUCAGUAUUCGUUUUUGCCCCCUGAUUUGUGAAGUUGCGUUCACCCUUGCCCCCUUGGACCUCGUUCCUGAGUCCUUUACCAGAUCCUAUUUGAAUUACCUCAGGGCCAGUGGCUCAAGUGCAGCUUGAUCUUUCUCACAUUUAUGAUCCUCUGCAAAACAAAUUGAGAAAGAAACAGUAAGAAAUUAAACAGGUGUCCUUUCACACAUUGUAAGUGUAGGAGCCUGUUUGGGUGUAGAAUAGUGACUGCUCUUUGUGGGUCCAGGAUAUGUAGGAGAAUUACUCUGGGAGACCUCAGAUUGCAUCUUUAGAGACCUACAAACUCUCCUGAGCUCACUAGGCAGACCCUCCCUGACCUGGCGAUCACCAUCACGACUUCCUCUGCCCUAAAUCAAUGCAAAAGAAUAGUUUAAAAGGUACUUGGCCAGCUUCCCUCCGGAACAUUCCAGGGUCCAAGCCUGCCACAGACUGCCUCCCAGAUGUAUGGCUCUGUGUCCCAUCGUGGCUUUCAUGUAGAACCCACUCUUACUCUGAAGAGAUGACAAACAGCCCUGUCCCACCUCUGCACCUGCCACCAGGACAUGGGAUCAGUCCCCAAGACUGAUCCUGCUCUGUUCCCUCAGGUGCUCUCAGGAAAUUCUAAGUAAAAGACUUCAAUAACUACCAAUAUUCCUAGCCCUUGUGCUAUGGCAUUCAGUGCCCAAACCAUGUUCAAAAGGGCUUGGUGAUUUAUCCAUAUUUCAAUUAUAUUCAUGUAUGAUUCCAUGCAAUAAAUGGAGAAACGGAGAUGCCAAAAGGGUAAGUCAUUUGCCCAAAGCAACUUAAUGGCGGCAUCCAAGCUAGAGCUUGGGUCUCGCAAUUCUCAGUUCACAGCUCUUUGUACUAUAAUGAUGUCCUCCAACCUCUUCUCCCUUUCACCCCAUUAGCACUGGAUGAACAAGGCCUCCUUCCCUAAAGGGUCACAUCCAUAAAUGAUGACGUUUUUAGAGUUGUAAUCAUGGCCUCCAACCUCAGGGCUUCCCACUGGCCAGUCCUGAUCCUGUCCUGGUCCCCAGGAAAUGAAGUGGAAGCAGGACCUGGGGUAAAAGGCUGUGGUGGAGGUGUGGCCCGGGUCUGGCAGUGAUGAGAGUGUCCCUAAGCCCUGUGGCCAACUUACUGGUGCU